UACUCCUACGGGAGGCAGCAGUGGGGAAUAUUGCGCAAUGGGGGGAACCCUGACGCAGCCAUGCCGCGUGAAUGAAGAAGGCCUUCGGGUUGUAAAGUUCUUUCGGUAUUGAGGAAGGUUGAUGUGUUAAUAGCACAUCAAAUUGACGUUAAAUACAGAAGAAGCACCGGCUAACUCCGUGCCAGCAGCCGCGGUAAUACGGAGGGUGCGAGCGUUAAUCGGAAUAACUGGGCGUAAAGGGCACGCAGGCGGUUAUUUAAGUGAGGUGUGAAAGCCCCGGGCUUAACCUGGGAAUUGCAUUUCAGACUGGGUAACUAGAGUACUUUAGGGAGGGGUAGAAUUCCACGUGUAGCGGUGAAAUGCGUAGAGAUGUGGAGGAAUACCGAAGGCGAAGGCAGCCCCUUGGGAAUGUACUGACGCUCAUGUGCGAAAGCGUGGGGAGCAAACAGGAUUAGAUACCCUGGUAGUCCACGCUGUAAACGCUGUCGAUUUGGGGGUUGGGGUUUAACUCUGGCGCCCGUAGCUAACGUGAUAAAUCGACCGCCUGGGGAGUACGGCCGCAAGGUUAAAACUCAAAGGAAUUGACGG
rnacentral:rRNA from 1 species